GCUCCGGUGGCCUAGUGGUUAGAUCUUCCACCUCAGAUGCGGGAGGUCAUGGGUUCGAUCCCCGGUCGAAUCA